GACUUGGGGUGGGGGAGGGGGACGAGAGGGGGUUGCAGACAGAGGCUGCUGUUUUGAGCAGAACCCCACUGCUGACCAGAGCUGGGGAACAUAAGAAGAUGGUGAAAGUCUGUAGAUGUAGGUGUUCAGCAUGUUGUCUGAAGGAUUCCCCACAGAGACAAAAAACAAGGAAGUUAUGUCAGAAAAGGAAAAAGAAGACAAGUCAGCAGGAUAUGUCCUCGUUUUGGUUGAAGAAGCUGUUUGAAUCCGAGUUUGUCCACGUCAUGUUUUUUCCCACAGACAACACAAUGACAAGCUUCUGGUACCGGCCCAAGACCACCAUAAUCAUUGUUGAUUUUUCCACUCUACCCCAGGGUCUCUAAAUAAAAUUUCUCUCCUUUCUCUCUGCCAAA